GUGAUUAACCUGUUUGAGCUAACUGGUGAUUAACCAAGAGUCGAGUUAUGUGCACAGGCAAGCAAAGUAUUGCUCCUGUGUUUCAUAGAUGGGAAAUCAUACUGAUGACUCAACCAUAUAUAGCAUUAUUUUGCUGGUUCAUGCUACCUCAGCGGAAACAGCUGCCAAAGGUCAUCUGACAUAAUAGCUGAUGAAUUCAAGCCCAGUGGAUUUCAUUUGCAAUUUUCAAUUUACUGAGGCCUCCAAACCCCACGGUGAUAAAAGCUUCCCCUAUCGUGGCCUGUCACAAACAUCAAGAAACUGCACAAACCCACAAGAAAGAAAAAAGAGAAAGCUGUGCAUCAUCACAGCUAUAGAUAAGGAGAACAGGAAGAAAUGGUAUCAUGCAGGAAGAUGGGGAGCAGCCUGUGUGGCUAGUUCUCUAAAUGCCAAUUGAAACGAAAAGACUAUGAGGAACAAUCAAAUAACUUCCACAGAAUAACAACAUGUUUCUUUGGAGCUUUUAUGUGAAAAUUGCCUUCUAAUCUCUGACUUGACAUGCUCCCACACAAAAAUGUAAGUGUAAAUAUGCAAAUAAAUAAAUGAAUAAAUAAUCCUUGCUUACCUGGUCACUGGAAAGCACACUCUCUGUGCUGUAUUUACCACAGUUUUGCUUUACAAAAUGCAUGCUCAUAGAGGGUCUUUGAUCAUGGAAGUGUAGGCUCAGC
rnacentral:lncRNA from 10 species